rnacentral:rRNA from 1 species
CCAGGUGUAGCGGUGAAAUGCGUAGAGAUCUGGAGGAAUACCGGUGGCGAAGGCGGCCCCCUGGACGAAGACUGACGCUCAGGUGCGAAAGCGUGGGGAGCAAACAGGAUUAGAUACCCUGGUAGUCCACGCCGUAAACGAUGUCGACUUGGAGGUUGUGCCCUUGAGGCGUGGCUUCCGGAGCUAACGCGUUAAGUCGACCGCCUGGGGAGUACGGCCGCAAGGUUAAAACUCAAAUGAAUUGACGGGGGCCCGCACAAGCGGUGGAGCAUGUGGUUUAAUUCGAUGCAACGCGAAGAACCUUACCUGGUCUUGACAUCCACGGAAGUUUUCAGAGAUGAGAAUGUGCCUUCGGGAACCGUGAGACAGGUGCUGCAUGGCUGUCGUCAGCUCGUGUUGUGAAAUGUUGGGUUAAGUCCCGCAACGAGCGCAACCCUUAUCCUUUGUUGCCAGCGGUCCGGCCGGGAACUCAAAGGAGACUGCCAGUGAUAAACUGGAGGAAGGUGGGGAUGACGUCAAGUCAUCAUGGCCCUUACGACCAGGGCUACACACGUGCUACAAUGGCGCAUACAAAGAGAAGCGACCUCGCGAGAGCAAGCGGACCUCAUAAAGUGCGUCGUAGUCCGGAUUGGAGUCUGCAACUCGACUCCAUGAAGUCGGAAUCGCUAGUAAUCGUGGAUCAGAAUGCCACGGUGAAUACGUUCCCGGGCCUUGUACACACCGCCCGUCACACCAUGGGAGUGGGUUGCAAAAGAAGUAGGUAGCUUAACCUUCGGGAGGGCGCUUACCACUUUGUGAUUCAUGACUGGGGUGAAGUCGUAACAAGGUAACCGUAGGGGAACCUGCGGUUGGAUCACCUCCUUACCUUAAAGAAGC